UGACUGUAUACAUUUUAAAUAUUUUUGCAAUCAGUACAAAUUGUAUGAUCUGUUAUUUCAGAUGAUCCGGAUGGAGACAUUUGAGAGAAGAUGGAUUAUCUGCUCAUGCUCUACAGGAGCUCCAUGUCACCCUCGCUCUGCUCCAAUCACAGCGUGCCAUUUGCCCAACAGCAGCUGGGCCAAAUAUCCAGUUAAAAAAUAUGGCUGUGUACAGAUUCCUACGCCAAAGCUGUGGACCGGUGUCGGCGGCUGAGGGACACCAGCAUCCACAGAAGAUGAAGCAAGUGUCCAAAAAAGGCAGCGCCGACGCCCAAGGAGGUUCAUGACAGAUUCUUCAAGUGAUGAUGAAUCUGUUGCACGACCAAUAAACUGUCCAGGACGGAGCGUGCGUCUGGAAGCCCUUCUGGAAGUU